GACCCAGACCCGCGUGGCGGUGCGGCAGUGUGGCUGGGGCACUGGCUGUCGCGCCCCGGCGCUGGCCUCCGCAGACCCGCCCGGAGCUGGAGCGGCCGACUGGGACCAAAGGGAGGGGCGUGCGGCCACUGCAGAGGAGCGGGCGGGGCUCCAACAUUGGCCCCGCCCAGCCUGAGGGCACCCGCGGAACCCCGCCUCGCUUGCGGGAGCGCGGCACCCUCUGCCCGCCCGACCCUGCCAGGGAAGAUACUGCGUGAAACCAGAAGUGAGUCCCUUUCUGGCACGUGACAGGCCCGCAACAGCGAGCUGGAAGCCGUUCCUCUGUUGGACACUUUUAUGGUAGAAGCCUGUAUUUCUUCUUGGGAAGACUUUCCACAGUCCCCCCUUGACUUCCUGUGCUAUGAGAGAAGGAUGCCAAAAUCCCAACUCUGCCUGCAGGCCAUGUCCUCCACCACAAUAUGGAGGUAGGGAGCCAGUACACCAGGCACGAGGGAUCCAUGGGAACACACCCACCACAAGCCGGAUCCUGACAGCCUGCCACCUUGUCCCUGCAUUCUGAAGCCUGGGGUGGAGGAGUCCUGGGCACUGGGCCGCAUGGUUCAACAUCCCUGUGGAUAGCAGCCCGAUCUGCCUGUGGGUCUUGGCUCUCUGCCACUUCACAGCAAUACGAUCUGAAGAUUAAACCAGCUUUCUAACCUCUAUCAGCCUCAUUUACUCAUCUAGAAAAUGAGGAUAAUGAUGCCUACUUGAAGCAGUUGCUGAGAAGAUUGCGUGAGAAAAUACUGUGAAAGGUUUUCAUGCAGUGGAGACCAUCACAAAUGAUCUCAACGCAUCUGAAAAUCAUAUACAGCUUUUCUUCUCAUUAUAAACGUAACUUGAAAAAUACAGAAAAAUAUAAAGGAAAUACAAAUAGAUCAUAAUCUCCCCAUCCCGAAAUAAACAUUGUUAGCAAUUUAUUGUUUCUA